rnacentral:rRNA from 1 species
UGGGGAAUCUUCCGCAAUGGACGAAAGUCUGACGGAGCAACGCCGCGUGAGUGAAGACGGCCUUCGGGUUGUAAAGCUCUGUGAUCCGGGACGAAAGAGCCUGAGGUAAAUAGCCUAAGGAAGUGACGGUACCGGAAAAGCAAGCCACGGCUAACUACGUGCCAGCAGCCGCGGUAAUACGUAGGUGGCAAGCGUUGUCCGGAAUUAUUGGGCGUAAAGCGCGCGCAGGCGGCUUCCUAAGUCCAUCUUAAAAGUGCGGGGCUUAACCCCGUGAUGGGAUGGAAACUGGGAAGCUGGAGUAUCAGAGAGGAAAGUGGAAUUCCUAGUGUAGCGGUGAAAUGCGUAGAGAUUAGGAAGAACACCGGUGGCGAAGGCGACUUUCUGGACGAAAACUGACGCUGAGGCGCGAAAGCGUGGGGAGCAAACAGG